UACGGAGGGUGCGAGCGUUGUCCGGAAUUACUGGGCGUAAAGGGCGCGUAGGCGGUCCGAUAAGUCCUGUGUGAAAUCCCUCGGCUCAACUGAGGAACUGCACGGGAGACUGCCGGGCUUGAGUUCGGGAGAGGGAAGCGGAAUUCCGGGUGUAGCGGUGAAAUGCGUAGAGAUCGGGAGGAACACCCGUGGCGAAGGCGGCCAACUGGGAUACACCUGACGCUGAGGCACGAAGGCGUGGGGAGCGAACGGG
rnacentral:rRNA from 1 species